rnacentral:rRNA from 1 species
AUUGAACGCUGGCGGCAGGCCUAACACAUGCAAGUCGAGCGGCAGCGGGACCUUCGGGUUGCCGGCGAGCGGCGGACGGGUGAGUAAUGCCUAGGAAUCUGCCUGUUCGUGGGGGAUAACGCGGGGAAACUCGCGCUAAUACCGCAUACGUCCUACGGGAGAAAGCGGGGGCUCUUCGGACCUCGCGCUAACAGAUGAGCCUAGGUCGGGUUGGCUAGUUGGUGGGGUAAUGGCCCACCAAGGCGACGAUCCGUAACUGGUCUGAGAGGAUGAUCAGUCACACUGGAACUGAGACACGGUCCAGACUCCUACGGGAGGCAGCAGUGGGGAAUAUUGGACAGUGGGCAAAAGCCUGAUCCAGCCAUGCCGCGUGUGUGAAGAAGGUCUUCGGAUUGUAAAGCACUUUAAGUCGGGAGGAAGGGCUGUAGGCUAAUACCUUGCAGUUUUGACGUUACCGACAGAAUAAGCACCGGCUAACUUCGUGCCAGCAGCCGCCGUAA